rnacentral:rRNA from 1 species
UACGUAGGGGGCAAGCGUUGUCCGGAAUCAUUGGGCGUAAAGAGCGUGUAGGCGGCCCGGUAAGUCCGCCGUGAAAGUCCAGGGCUCAACCCUGGAAUGCCGGUGGAAACUGCCGGGCUGGAGUCCGGAAGAGGCGAGUGGAAUUCCUGGUGUAGCGGUGAAAUGCGCAGAUAUCAAGAGGAACACCAAUGGCGAAGGCAGCUCGCUGGGACGGUACUGACGCUGAGACGCGAAAGCGUGGGGAGCAAACAGG